CUACGGGCGGCACCAGCGAGGAAUAUUGCACAAUGGGGGGAACCCUGAUGCAGCAACGCCGCGUGGAGGAUGACGCAUUUCGGUGUGUAAACUCCUUUUAUAUGUCAAGAAAAUGACGGUAGCAUAUGAAUAAGCACCGGCUAACUCCGUGCCAGCAGCCGCGGUAAUACGGAGGGUGCAAGCGUUACUCGGAAUCACUGGGCGUAAAGGACGCGUAGGCGGGUUGGAAAGUCAGGUGUGAAAUCCUACAGCUUAACUGUAGAACUGCACUUGAACCUUCUAAUCUAGAGGAUGGGAGGGGGAGAUGGAAUUAGUGGUGUAGGGGUAAAAUCCGUAGAUAUCACUAGGAAUACCUAAAGCGAAGGCGAUCUCCUGGAACAUUACUGACGCUAAGGCGUGAAAGCGUGGGGAGCAAACAGGAUUAGAUACCCGCGUAGUC
rnacentral:rRNA from 1 species